rnacentral:rRNA from 1 species
GACGAACGCUGGCGGCGUGCUUAACACAUGCAAGUCGAACGGAGUGGCGAACGGGUGAGUAACACGUGGGUGAUCUGCCUUGCACUUCGGGAUAAGCUAGGGGAACUGGGUCUAAUACCCGCUUGUCCAAUAUGAGCUCGCGGCAUAUCAGCUUGUUGGUGGGGUAAUGGCCUACCAAGGCGUCGACGGGUAGCCGGCCUGAGAGGGUGUACGGCCACAGUGGGACGGGGAUGCGGCCCAGACGCCUACGGGCGGCAGGAGUGGGGAAUAUUGCAAAAUGGGCGGAAGCCUGAUGCAGCGACGCCGGGUGGGGGAUGAAGGUCUUCGGGUUGGAAAGUCCUUGCGACAGGGACGGGGUACCUGUAUAAGAGGCACCGGCUAACUACGUGCCAGCAGCGGCGGUAAUC